rnacentral:lncRNA from 1 species
CUGCUGCACAAGAGCCAAUUAUUGACGAACGUGUUGAUGAGUUAUGCGAGACAGACUGUUGUCUGCCUCACACAGUACAAGGCUACCAAGGUCAUUUGAACUGUUUACAGGAUGGGUAUCACGUGGAAGUCCUGGAGUCAUCCUUCUCCUUGGAAACUCCUCAUUCUUCUAAGGACACGGUGACAUGAAGAUUGGCAGAGGCUGUAGCCAUCAGCCGAGGACCUGUUCGCUACUGGCAGAGUUGGAAGUCCUGCAGCUUCAAGAGGAGGAGGCCAUAGGCAGGGAGCAGUUCUAGAAGUAAAAGCAGCUUUUGUUUUAAGAAUUACUUUGCAAAGCUGACGAUGCACAGGAGACCCAACUCCUAGAGGAAAGCCAAGCCUUGCUGAAAUCCACGAGCUAUUCCCCAGCACAGAUUGCUCCCUGAAUGCAUGUGGGCAGGAGCUGGAUGAAUAAGGAGGUAUUAUUUCUUGCUGCAUCUGCCAUUGAAAUAGAAUAGAACAGGGCAACCAUUCAAUAGCAAAGUAUAAAGUAAUUAAUAUGUUUUUCUUAUGACCUUUUUUUUUUUCAGAAGUAAGUUAGGGCUUUGCUUGGACCCACAAUUCACCU